rnacentral:rRNA from 1 species
GAUGAACGCUGGCGGCGUGCCUAAUACAUGCAAGUCGAGCGAAUGGAUUAAGAGCUUGCUCUUAUGAAGUUAGCGGCGGACGGGUGAGUAACACGUGGGUAACCUGCCCAUAAGACUGGGAUAACUCCGGGAAACCGGGGCCAAUACCGGAUAACAUUUUGAACCGCAUGGUUCGAAAUUGAAAGGCGGCUUGGGCUGUCACUUAUGGAUGGACCCGCGUCGCAUUAGCUAGUUGGUGAGGUAACGGCUCACCAAGGCAACGAUGCGUAGCCGACCUGAGAGGGUGAUCGGCCACACUGGGACUGAGACACGGCCCAGACUCCUACGGGAGGCAGCAGUAGGGAAUCUUCCGCAAUGGACGAAAGUCUGACGGAGCAACGCCGCGUGAGUGAUGAAGGCUUUCGGGUCGUAAAACUCUGUUGUUAGGGAAGAACAAGUGCUAGUUGAAUAAGCUGGCACCUUGACGGUACCUAACCAGAAAGCCACGGCUAACUACGUGCCAGCCGCCGCCGUAA